AUUUAAUACCGCAUAAUAUGCCGAAGUCGCAUGACUUUGGUAUUAAAGCAGCAAUGCACUUAGAGAUGAGUGUGCGUCCCAUUAGGUAGUUGGUGAGGUAAACGGGCUCACCAAGCCUAUGAUGGGUAGCCGGUCUGAGAGGAUGGUUCGGCCACACGGGCACUGAGACACGGGCCCGACUCCUACGGGAGGCAGCAGUAAGGAAUAUUGGUCAAUGGUGGAAACACUGAACCAGCCAUGCCGCGUUGGAGGAAUAAGGUCCUACGGAUUGUAAACUCCUUUUGACGAGGAAGAAAAUGUUAGAUUUAUCUAAUUUUGACGGUACUCGUAGAAUAAGCACCGGCUAACUCCGUG
rnacentral:rRNA from 1 species